GGGAGUAUAACUCAGUGGUAGAGUGUGUGCUUAGUAUGCACGAGGCCCUGGACUCCAUCACUAGUAUCUCCA
rnacentral:tRNA from 1 species